rnacentral:lncRNA from 1 species
GGGGACAGAAGAGGGUAGGCAGCAGAGGCCAGGUCUGUGGACAAAAGCCCCACUUCAGAGUGGUUGGAAGCCAGGACAGGAGGGACUCAUGGAGGUGACCGCUUCACAGGAGUCCUUUCUCCAGUCGUGCUAGGGAGGAGCCCCUGCCUGUCCAGCACUGCCCCUGCCUCUUGCUGUACCUUGCCAGUGUGCCCUCCCCCCGCCCACUACCAUAGUAGGCAUCUGGCUUUUCCCACCAACCCAUCUACCUUUUUGGUGGUCCAGACCUACAGUCUCCUUGCAGAGCACUCCUCCUCCCACCCUCACUUCAAGUGAGGUUUGGAUGAGAUUGACCACAUCCCCUUGGUCACAAAUAUUGGCUCAGGAAUGGACAUGUGGCCCUGUUCAAGCCUAUGAGAGCCAGGACCCCCAGACUUAUGUUAGAACUCUUGAGAGAGAUACUCUGUCUUCUCUGAACCUUGCAGUAUAUAGAAAUGAGCCUAUUGAUGCAACAAUAUAAAUGGCACUGAGAGGGGUGUCCAGAGCUGCUGGGGUCAGGGGAGGGAGGUCAGCCUGGCAGAAGCCAUCUUGUGGAGCAUGAAAAUGAAAGAGACCUUGAGAAAGGCCAGAGGAAUCCAGGCCUGUGGUGACAACAUUUGAGCUGCUGGAUCAAACCUCACCUGAAGUCCUUCCUAUUCCUACUAGAUAUUUUUUUCCACUGUGUGGGCCAAUGCAUUCCCUUUAUACUGUGUAAGCCAGGCAUGGUGGCUCACACCUAUAAUCCCAGCAAUGCAGGAGGCUGAAGUGGGAAGAUCGUUGAGGCCAGGAGUUCAAGACCAGCCUGGGCAACCUAAGAAGACCCUGUCUCUAAAAAAGAAUUAAAUAUAAAUAAAUAAAUAAUAAAAAUAUAAUGUUU